rnacentral:rRNA from 1 species
GACAGAGGGUGCAAACGUUGUUCGGAAUUACUGGGCGUAAAGCGCGUGUAGGCUGCUCGGAAAGUCGGAUGUGAAAGCCCUGGGCUCAACCUAGGAAGUGCAUUCGAAACCUCCGAGCUGGAGUACUGGAGAGGAAGGCGGAAUUCUCGGUGUAGAGGUGAAAUUCGUAGAUAUCGAGAGGAACACCGGUGGCGAAGGCGGCCUUCUGGACAGUAACUGACGCUGAGACGCGAAAGCGUGGGGAGCAAACAGG